AUGUAUUAAACUGAGCCUCAUACUUGUUGAUAAAGAGUAUGUUCCCUUGCAAAAAAGCUUGGCAGAUGUAAUUUAUCAAGAAGAUCAGCAGAAUUAUUUUAUGUAUUAUAACACCAGUGAGAAGUCUUGAAUUCCCCUACUUUCACUUUCAUUUUCAGAGGUUAACGCAGACAGACGCAUUUUGCCGGAAAACGAAUCUGACAUGCCACCUCGAGAUUUUAACCAAGGAAAGACAACUUGAUGUGCUUUGAUUUGAGGGGUCACUCAAUGCUGAACGAAAAUUAGGGACAUUGCUAUGUGAAGAAACGUUAACAUUGCCGCCUAUGGGAAAACAAUUAGUGGGCUGUACCCAAUAUGUUGAGCCUAUUGGUUCAUGGUGAUACAGGACAACUUCGAGGUUCAUGCAGAUGGUGUUUAAAACUAUCAGUCAGUAAAAACAAACUCAUUUGAACAUAUCUCGAGUCUUCACAUGUAAAAUGAUGGCCGCAGUACUUUUAAUAUAGGUUAACGCAGACAGACGCAUUUUGCCGGAAAACGAAUCUGACAUGCCACCUCGAGAUUUUAACCAAGGAAAGACAACUUGAUGUGCUUUGAUUUGAGGGGUCACUCAAUGCUGAACGAAAAUUAGGGACAUUGCUAUGUGAAGAAACGUUAACAUUGCCGCCUAUGGGAAAACAAUUAGUGGGCUGUA